GACGAACCGUGCGAACGUUGUUCGGAAUCACUGGGCUUAAAGGGCGCGUAGGCGGUUUCUCAAGUCCGGGGUGAAAGCUUUCGGCUUAACCGGAAAAGUGCCGCCGAUACUGGGAACCUCGAGGGAGGUAGGGUCGAGGGAACUGGUGGUGGAGCGGUGAAAUGCGUAGAUAUCACUAGGAACGCCGGUGGCGAAAGCGCUCGACUGGACCUCUUCUGACGCUGAGGCGCGAAAGCCAGGGAGCAAACGGG
rnacentral:rRNA from 1 species